rnacentral:rRNA from 1 species
UACGGAGGGGGCUAGCGUUGUCCGGAAUUAUUGGGCGUAAAGAGCUCGUAGGCGGUCUGUUGCGUCGGCUGUGAAAACCCGGGGCUCAACCCCGGGCCUGCAGCCGAUACGGGCAGACUAGAGUUCGGCAGGGGAGACUGGAAUUCCUGGUGUAGCGGUGAAAUGCGCAGAUAUCAGGAGGAACACCGGUGGCGAAGGCGGGUCUCUGGGCCGAUACUGACGCUGAGGAGCGAAAGCGUGGGGAGCGAACAGG